UAGGGAAUCUUCGGCAAUGGGGGGAACCCUGACCGAGCAACGCCGCGUGAGUGAAGAAGGUUUUCGGAUCGUCAAGCUCUGUUGUUAAGGAAGAACGAGUGUGAGAAUGGAAAGUUCAUGCUGUGACGGUACUUAACCAGAAAGGGACGGCUAACUACGUUCCAGCAGCCGCGGUAAUACGUAGGUCCCGAGCGUUGUCCGGAUUUAUUGGGCGUAAAGCGAGCGCAGGCGGUUAGAAAAGUCUGAAGUGAAAGGCAGUGGCUCAACCAUUGUAGGCUUUGGAAACUGUUUAACUUGAGUGCAGAAGGGGAGAGUGGAAUUCCAUGUGUAGCGGUGAAAUGCGUAGAUAGAUGGAGGAACACCAGUGGCGAAGGCGACUCUCUGGUCUGUAACUGACGCUGAGGCUCGAAAGCGUGGGUAGCAAACAGG
rnacentral:rRNA from 1 species